AGUGAACGCUGGCGGCGUGCCUAAUACAUGCAAGUCGAACGGAGAUUAAGUAGCUUGCUAUUUACUCUUAGUGGCGCACGGGUGAGUAAUAUAUAGCUAACUUGCCCAUUACUAAGGGACAACAGUUGGAAACGACUGCUAAUACCUUAUACUCCGUAUCUAUAUAAGUAGAUACGGGAAAGUUUUUCGGUAAUGGAUAGGGCUAUAUCGUAUCAGCUAGUUGGUAAGGUAAUGGCUUACCAAGGCUAUGACGCGUAACUGGUCUGAGAGGAUGAUCAGUCACACUAGAACUGAGACACGGUCCAGACUCCUACGGGAGGCAGCAGUAGGGAAUAUUGCUCAAUGGGGGAAACCCUGAAGCAGCAACGCCGCGUGGAGGAUGACACUUUUCGGAGCGUAAACUCCUUUUCUUGGGAAAGAAUUAUGACGGUACCCAAGGAAUAAGCACCGGCUAACUCCGUG
rnacentral:rRNA from 1 species